rnacentral:tRNA from 1 species
GGGGCUGUAGCUCAGCUGGGAGAGCGCCUGACUGGCAGUCAGGAGGUCUGGGGUUCGAUCCCCCACAGCUCCACCA